CUACGGGUUGCUGCAGUCGAGAAUCUUUCGCAAUGGGGGAAACCCUGACGAAGCGACGCCGUGUGAGUGAAGAAGGCCCUCGGGUUGUAAAGCUCUUUCGCAUGGGAACAAGAAAAACUAACUAAUACUUAGUUGAUUUGAUAGUAUCAAGUAAAGAAGCACCGGCUAACUUCGUGCCAGCAGCUGCGGUAAUACGAAGGGUGCUAGCGUUAAUCGGAUUUAUUGGGCGUAAAGGGCGCGUAGGCGGAAAAGCAAGUCAAAUGUGAAAUCCCUGGGCUUAACCCAGGAACUGCAUUUGAAACUACUUAUCUAGAGGAUAGACGGAGAAAGUGGAAUUCCACGUGUAGCGGUAAAAUGCGUAGAUAUGCGGAAGAAUACCGGUGGCGAAGGCGACUUUCUAGUUUACACCUGACGCUGAGGCGCGAGAGCAAGGGGAGCAAACAGGAUUAGAUACCCCAGUAGUC
rnacentral:rRNA from 1 species